rnacentral:rRNA from 1 species
AAUUCGAUUGAGUUUGAUCCUGGCUCAGGACGAACGCUGGCGACGUGCCUAACACAUGCAAGUCGAACGGGACCAGGGGCAACUCUGGUUCAGUGGCGGACGGGUGCGUAACACGUGAGGAACAUGACCUUCGGCGGGGGAUAGCCGGCCCAACGGCCGGGUAAUACCGCGUACGACCACUUGGGGACAUCCUCGGGUGGUGAAAGCAGCAAUGCGCCGAUGAAGUGCCUCGCGGCCUAUCAGCUAGUUGGUGGGGUAACGGCUCACCAAGGCGACGACGGGUAGCUGGUCUGAGAGGAUGGCCAGCCACAUUGGGACUGAGACACGGCCCAGACUCCUACGGGAGGCAGCAGUGGGGAAUAUUGCGCAAUGGACGAAAGUCUGACGCAGCGACGCCGCGUGUGGGAUGACGGUCUUCGGAUUGUAAACCACUGUCGGGAGGGACGAAUACGCCGCAAGGCGGGUGACGGUACCUCCAAAGGAAGCACCGGCUAACUCCGUGCCAGCAGCCGCGGUAAUACGGAGGGUGCGAGCGUUGUCCGGAAUCACUGGGCGUAAAGGGCGCGUAGGCGGCCUGAUAAGUAGGGGGUGAAAUCCUGCGGCUUAACCGCAGGGCUGCCUUCUAAACUGUCAGGCUCGAGCACAGUAGAGGCAGGUGGAAUUCCCGGUGUAGCGGUGGAAUGCGUAGAGAUCGGGAAGAACAUCAGUGGCGAAGGCGG